rnacentral:lncRNA from 1 species
UUCCUUACUUAUUCCACACGUUCCUUAAUUUUGUAUGCCAUCAGAUGGCGCCUUGGGACAUAUGGGCAUGGAAGAGGAGGAGUCCUUCUCUGAGAAGGAACUCUACGCCAAAAUCAUUUUGGGACGCCCACUUUUUUGUGCGAGAAAUGGAAGAGUCCAUUUUAUGUCAAACUCUUAAUUCCUUCUUUUAUUUCUCCACGCGUUUCUUAAUUCUCCAUGUCAUGAGAUAGCUCUUAGAAUUAUGGGCACGGAA